GACGAACCGUGCGAACGUUGUUCGGAAUCACUGGGCUUAAAGGGCGCGUAGGCGGGCUGCCAAGUCUGGGGUGAAAUCCUCCGGCUCAACCGGAGAACGGCCUCGGAUACUGGCGGUCUCGAGGGAGGUAGGGGCGUGCGGAACUAAGGGUGGAGCGGUGAAAUGCGUUGAUAUCCUUAGGAACUCCGGUGGCGAAGGCGGCACGCUGGACCUCUUCUGACGCUGAGGCGCGAAAGCCAGGGGAGCAAACGGG
rnacentral:rRNA from 2 species